GGUGAUCCUAUUAAACUUGAUAAAAAUAAUGAGGAUCCGAUCAUCUAUAUAGAUGCUAUAAAAAAAUCUAACUCUAAUAAGUGGCUUGAAGCUAUGAAGUCCAAAAUGAAGUCUAUGAAGAUCAACGAUGUACGAACAUUUAUUGAUCUACUUAAAGGGGUAAAACUCAUAGGGUAUAAAUAGAUUUUCAAAAGAAAAAGAGGCAC
rnacentral:lncRNA from 1 species